GACGAACGCUGGCGGCGUGCUUAACACAUGCAAGUCGAACGGAAAGGCCCUGCUUUUGUGGGGUGCUCGAGUGGCGAACGGGUGAGUAACACGUGAGUAACCUGCCCUUGACUGUGUGAUAACUUCAGGAAACUGGGGCUCAUACCGGAUAGGAUCUCCUGCUGCAUGGUGGGGGUUGGAAAGUUUCGGCGGUUGGGGAUGGACUCGCGGCUUAUCAGCUUGUUGGUGGGGUAGUGGCUUACCAAGGCUUUGCCGGGUAGCCGGCCUGAGAGGGUGACCGGCCACAUUGGGACUGAGAUACGGCCCAGACUCCUACGGGAGGCAGGAGUGGGGAAUAUAGCACAAAGGGCGGAAGCCUGAUGCAGCAACGCCGCGUGCGGGAUGACGGCCUUCGGGUUGUAAACCGAGUUCGCCUGUGACGAAGCGUGAGGGACGGUAAUGGGUAAAGAAGCACCGGCUAACUACGU
rnacentral:rRNA from 1 species